GCUCUCUUCGGCAGGAUAUAUACUAAAAUUGGAAUGAUACAGAGAAGAUUAGCAUGGCCCCUAAGAAAAUUUUCAAAAUAGUAAAAUGGAAGUAGGUAAAAUUCAC